ACGUAGGUGGCAAGCGUUGUCCGGAAUAACUGGGCGUAAAGCGCAUGUAGACGGCAUAGCAAGCCAAGCGUGAAAUUUAGGGGCUUAACCUCUAAACUGCGCUUGGAACUGCUGAGCUUGAGUGCAGGAGAGGCAAGUGGAAUUCCCAGUGGAGCAGUGAAAGUCGUAGAUAUUGGGAGGAACUCCAGUGGCGAAGGCGACUUGCUGGACUGCAACUGACGUUGAUAUGCGAAAGCGAGGGGAGCUAACGG
rnacentral:rRNA from 1 species